UCCACAUCUUCCUCACUUCAACAUCACCAUAUUCACUUUCUCUUUUCACUGAAACACAGAAAUCCCCCACCCUCAAGAACCCUAAUCCCUAAUCGCCAUUUUUGUGCUUUCAUCUCACAGCGUAAUUCUCGAAUUCCACAUCCACCGUCAAUGAUUCCUCACAACCCAAACCACCUCCACCCUCUGAUUCCACCACCUCAUCACAACCCGAACCGCCACCAAUCCAUCAAUUCCUGAAUCACUGCCACCGUCCCAUUCCACCACACUAUCCGAACCAUACCCACGACCUCCGUUGUUCCAUUCCUCAGAUAUUAAGUCUCUUUACUUGAGCAUCAACGUUGCAUCUGGACGCGAGGUUAAUCAUUUUGAUGAGGUGGUCUAAUUUGCCUCAUGAAAUGACUGUUGUAUUCGGUGGAUUAUGCGUUAAAGAUGUGCAUCAAUAUUGUAAGAGUCAUAUUGGGUCAUGAAAAGAAAUUGCGAGAGUGUAAGACUUAUCAAGCGGUUUGAUUUCUACAGUGGUAAAACUGUGUAGUUUGGUUCUUGGAAUUCUUAGAAAGAUUCAUAAGAAGGUACGAGAAGCUCAGCUAGCACAGUACAACUACACUUUGGUUGUUGGGGAAGAGGAAGCAAAUACAGGACAGGUGAGUGUACGAGUCAGAGAUAAGUCAGACCAUAGCGUUAUGACCAUUGAGAACCUGCUCAAACACUUCAGUGACGAGGUUGCAGCUUUCCAUUGAUAAUUUGUUUUUGAAAACUGAUAAAGCAAGUUUAUACCCCCAGUAACUUUUUGCAGGUGUACACAUAUGUGUGCAUUAUUUACAUUUCAACCUGACAAUGUAGUUUAAUUUUAGACAUGAUUUUGAAGUUUAAUGUAUUUUCAUUAUUGUCAUGAUCGAUGUGAUGUGAAUUUUACUUGGAGUGUACUCAUGUAGAUUCACACAUUGUCUGUUGUAGACUGCAUGCCAUCCUUAUUCUAAGAACUAUAGAAGAGAUUGUUACCAAUAUUUGUAAUAUACUCUGAGGCAUUGUUGAGCACAUUUUUUUGCUGAGUUGUUUGUUGAAAAGGCAAUUCAGACUCCCAUCCCUAAUGUUGUUAGAGACUGGUUAAAAUUUUCAGCCUUAUCCAUCCUUAUGCAGGUGAUGGCACCAACAAAAAUGUUCUGGAUGCAAUUUUCUUGGUUAAAGCUCUGGCUGAAACUUUGAAUGAGAGAAUUGAGUCGAUGGUUGGUGAGUUUUUUAGUAAUGUUGGAAGAUUGCAAGCUGAACAACAAAAACAAAUUCAGGAAUUUCAGGAAGAAGUGUUGGAUAGAGCCAAAAAAAGCAAAGGAAAAAGCAACACGUGAAGCUACAGAGGCACAACCACAGGAUCCGGUUUCCAACUCUGCAGCUUUUAGUUCUCCAUAUAUUUGACACUGAGUAGUGCGCAAAUGCCCUUACUAAGCCCCAACCAUCCAUUAGAUUCAUUGCUCUAAGACACAUACUCAGGGUUGUUGGCUCCCCGCCAUUUUGUGUGGAGGGAGGAGGUUAUUAGAAAUUUGACAAUUACAGACAUGAGUUACCCAUCAGAGUUGUACAAAGAAAUCUAGUAAUAAUAUUAUAUUGUAUUCAUUGAGUGGAAUGCCAUUUUGCCAUGUUUGAACGCCCCGGGCAAACAUUCAAGGUUGAGUAUGGAAGCCAUAGACAGGGAUGGACAUUUAAGUGCUGUUUAGAAGAGUUUAUUUUAAGUUUAUCUUAUGAGAUAAACAUUUGUAUAAGGUGUUUGGAAAGACUAAUAAAAUAUAUGCUCAUAAGCAAUUUUCAAUGUAUUUUUAUAAAUUUCCCGAAAUAGUUUAUAGAAAUAUUAUACCGGGUGAGUUUGACAUAAUCACGGUGUAGCACUGUGAUUUCGACAAAAAAACUGCACUUUCAUAAUUUCAUUUGCACGAAUGAACUGUUAAUAAUACUAAAUGUAAAUCAAAACAGAAUCAGAAAGUAAACAAUGACGU